AUUGAACGCUGGCGGAAUGCUUUACACAUGCAAGUCGAACGGCAGCACGGACUUCGGUCUGGUGGCGAGCGGCGAACGGGUGAGUAAUAUAUCGGAACGUAUCCAAUAAUGGGGGAUAACUAGUCGAAAGAUUGGCUAAUACCGCAUACGCCCUACGGGGGAAAGCAGGGGAUCUUCGGACCUUGCGUUAAUGGAGCGGCCGAUAUCUGAUUAGCUAGUUGGUGGGGUAAAGGCCCACCAAGGCGACGAUCAGUAGCUGGUCUGAGAGGACGACCAGCCACACUGGAACUGAGACACGGUCCAGACUCCUACGGGAGGCAGCAGUGGGGAAUUUUGGACAAUGGGCGCAAGCCUGAUCCAGCCAUUCCGCGUGAGUGAAGAAGGCCUUCGGGUUGUAAAGCUCUUUCGCAAGGGAAGAAAACUUAGCCACUAACAUUGGCUGAGGUUGACGGUACCUUGAUGAGAAGCACCGGCUAACUACGUGCCAGCAGCCGCUGUAA
rnacentral:rRNA from 1 species